GAGAGAGAAGUUGCAGGUCACCCAAAAAGGAGGGAAACAGAGAGAUCUUUCUGAAGGAUGUGGGAAUGCAGUUCUCCCCUGGACCAUAGCUGGUGUGUCUCUCAGUAUGACUGUAGCCCUUCUCAUCUACCUGUCUACAAAUGCUUACAUACGGAUGCAAGGUAAGAAUGUGAAGCCAAAAGAAGAGGAGAGUACCUACAUCUCAUUGGAUAAAAAAUACACGUCUCAGGAAGAGUAUGAGGUCAUUGCCAGGCGUCCAAGAUGAUUGAGCACCUGUUCUUCCCUCCACUCCUAAGCUUAUGCUGAGAGUUUUCAGUAGACUGAGAUCAUUUUCAUGUAAAACAAUUCACACUUAUCGUCUUUAAAACAAUAUAUUUUAUUUUUUAUUUUUUAGGGGUGGAUCAGCUUAAUAUUGAGGAAAUAAUGU